GCGCAGCUCUGCUGGUGCGUGCAUCUGACUACCAUAGGGUUUGAACGUAAGGCAGAUCUGUGAGCGUAGGGCUUGCUCUGGAGGAAUCCCUUAGGUAUUUCGGUGCCAUUCCCCAGUCCUAAAAGGAGUAAUCUGGGGAGACUGCUAUCGGAAACCCAGGCCUCCUCCAUCCCUGCCUCCCUUGUUGCCGAAGUUUGGGAAAACAGGAACGGGAGGUCACCACAUAGGUUCUCUUUCAUUAGACGCGUCAGGGUUUGUUAACGCUUAGGUCAGGCAGGGGGUAUCCUGCUUGCUGUGGUAGUAGAACUGUUCCUUGAGAAUUGUCCGUGUGGCAAAGCUGGGAUAAGAAGAUACCCUUCUGGGACACCUAUUAGGGGAUCUCGUUAGAGUCUAGUUGAGGAGCUGCAGGAGGCGCGCGUCCGACUUGCUUCCUUAUUUAGGCGCUAGAUGGAGAAGCGCCUUCAAGGACUUAGGCCCCCCCAUCCCCAACCCACCACCUCCUCCCCCUUUUGUUUCUCCCAGCCCCAUCUGGUUCCCAUUUCGCUGCCGCCUACGGCUGGAAGGGCUGGAGGGGGGGCGGCGGGGGCUCUGAAGCCCCGCCCAGCGGCUCGCGGCCGGGGUGAAAGGGGGUGAGGGGGCGGCGGAAAGAGAGUGGACAGGCCAGAGGCAAGGUUCCCCUUGGUCUGAAACCUCAGCCCAGCCACGCCCCGCCAUUCCGCGCUUCUGAGUGGCCCAAGGCUGCAGGGCGUGGGUGGCGCGGGCGGGAGCUGGUUCUACAUUCCGGCCCAGCGAAGGGACCUUUCUGUCUCCGGUGGGGGCAGGGGAAGAGGGGUGCGUUAUUGGGGAGGACUUCGAUGCUUCAUUCCAUUAAAAACAAAACACAGUGCGGGGGCGGGGGGGUACUAGGCACAAGGAAAGUUGCCGCUUCCAAAUCACCAUCCUACAACUGGACAGCGCAGCUAGACGCGCUCCCUCCGGGGUCGCCCCCCCCGCCCCCUUUGCUGUGUGCGGGGGCGGCCCCUCCCCCCCCUCCACCUUCGGGUUAUUUCUGAGCUUGGGCUGCCAGCCGCUGGCCCCGGGUUUCCACGUGCCCCCUCCCUCUCGCCGCCCACGCUCCCCGUGACGCACAUCCUCCGCCCACGCAGCCUCUGCUCAAGGCGCCCCCCUCUCCCCCGCCCGGGCCCCCUUGAGGCGGCGCUGAACCCUCGAAUCCGGAGGGAGACCGAGGCCCGGGGAAGGGACCGGAGCAGGGCGUGAAGCAAGAAGGCGGGAACCUGCUGGGCGUCAGGCGCCUGGGUACCCAUGUAGGAAAGAGAACGAGGGAGGAGCCGAUCUAGUGCCCUCUGCUCCUUGGUCCUGGGGCGGGUCUUCGGCCAGAGAAGGAAGAAGGGAGAAAAGCUCGCGGACUGUGUGUGAGAGUGAAAGUGUUUGCAUAUUUAUCAAGGUUGUCUUGAGGUUUAAAUAAGAAAACUAUUUUUAAAUUGUAAAAUACUAAGUAAACUUAAGAGGCUAUUACUGGUCUGUGCUUCUGGAUCCUGAGAUUGUAUAUUUAUGUUUCUUUACAUUUGCUUGUGUAUCUGUGUCUUUUUCUCUAGGUUUGUAUCUGAGAGUCCCUGUGUGUGGAUUUAAAAAUACAUAUAUUUUUAAAAUCGUUGACUUGUCAGGCCCCGCUGGAGGCCCAGAGCGCCCCCGCAGGGGGAGCUGCCGAGAUGUCUGUUCUUUUCCCUCCCACUCCAACCACCCCAACUCCCCUCCUACUCCCUUCCGUUGAGAACAAGGAAUUUCCAGCCUUGAGAAAAGAGACACAGAAACGAAGAGAGGCCAAGACCAUGGAAAACCAUCGAAAAACAUAAAGAUAAGAGACUUGUGGGGGGAGGAUGACAAAAGGGGGGGUUGGGACAAAUACAAAUUCAUUUUUUCUUUUUUGUCCCCAGAGUCACUUUUUCUCACUCCGUACCAGUUCCUUACCUGACUCACCUGCCUCCCUCUCCCCAGCUUUUCCCGGUGUUCCCAGACGCCCAUAGAGCAGAGCUACGUGUCCCAUUUAAUCAAGGAUGAAUCCCGUUAUCAUCCGCACUGGUUUCUUCCAUGAAGCUUUUCUGAGAAUAAGACGAAGGAAAACAAUAUCCUUAGUCCUGGUUUUCCAAGAAAAAAAAAAAGUUGGGAAGAAAUGGGGAAAUGUGGGUGGAAGAAGAGUGAGGAAACUGAAACCCAGAAAGAUUGUUUUUCGUCACCACGUGCGGAUUUCCAUCUAGCAGACUACCAUCCUCGCUGCUGUCCCCACGUUUUCACCAGGCUAAUUCCACUUCCAGGUUUCUAGCUUGGCUCAAAUGUCACUUUCCCGGACUUUCCCUUUCCUGGACCCUCUUAAGCAUCUAGGCAGAAUUCCUCCCAUCUCGGUGGCCUCCUGGAUGUUUGUACACAUUUGAAUUAACAGUUGCUUGUUUCACCCUGGGACCUCGAGAGGCAGGCCUGGGAUCUGGUGGGUCCCCUGAGAUGAAUGAAUUGGUGAUGGCCUUUACAGGCCUGAGGUGCUUUGAAAAGAGCAGUUGGUCGGCUUGUACUCCAAAAGGGGCUGAACUUUGGCAAAACUAAGUGGAAAGGUUUGUUUCCCACAUAUCUUCCCCUGUUGAAUUUUCCAGUGAGUCUCACAAGUUUGGCUCCUUGGCUUUCUAAAAUGUCCACUAUUCUGGUAAAUUAACCCCAGGUGCUAAAGGAGAAGGCUGAAACCCUUCCUAGUAAUAGAAAGAUGAAAAAUUAAUCUCCUUUUUUGUUCUUGAAGUAAUAUAUCAGAAUAAGUAGUCUAAGGAGUGAUCUUCAAUUUGGUCAUUUCACAAGAGAUUCUUCACUCCUCAAAGACAAUGCUAACCUUUGCGUUUAUGGAACUCAAGACUAGUAGUGGAAAUAGACAUAUCAACAGAUAAUUACAACAUAAUGCAAUCGGGGGGUACAGACAAUGGCUGAAGUAUAGAGACCAAGUGCUCCAUUUUGCUUGGGGUUGUGGAGGACUGGCUUUAAGACUUAUUAGAGUGGGUGCAAGAUUUUGAAGUAUGAAUAGGAGAUUUCCAGGAGGGACAGUUGUCAGAUCAGAAUGUGAGAAUGCACAGACGUGUGAAACGAUAUGUUUUUGAAACUAGAAAUUGUUAUUAUCGCUGGAGGGGAGGAGCUCUGGUGGUGCAAUGGUUAACUGCUGGGCUGCUAACCAAAGGUUGGUGGUUUGAGCCCACCUGGUGGCUCCUCUGGAGAAAGACCUAUAGAUCUGCUCCUGUAGAGAUUACCGCCUAGAGACCCAGCAGUUCUCUGUCAUAUGGGAGUGGCUAUGAGUUGAGAAUCGACUUGACCGUGCCUAACGACAAUAUUGCUGGAGAAGGAGUGAUUAGAAAUGAGUCUAGGAAGGUGUACAAGUUCGUUUCAUUAAGGAUGGUGUAAUCGGGCACUCAAAUUAUCGUGGCCAAAACAAUGGAUUCAAGCACACCAACAAUUGUAAAGAUGGCACAGAACCAGGCAACAUUUUGUUCUGUUGUACAUGAGGUUGUCAUGAGUUGAAGCUGACUCAGUGGCAAGUAACAGCAGACCAGUGCUUCUCAAACUAUGGCAAAGGGCCAGUUUUUUUUUUUUUUUUUAAUUUGCAAUCCAUUGUCUACUACUUUUAUAAAAUACUCUAAAAUGAAUUGUUAGAAAAAUGAAAGAAAUGUCUCACCUUUAUUAGCUUCAAUAAAUAUAAGAUUAUUCUGUGGGAGUUCGGUAAAGGUUUUAAAUGGUUACACUUAAUUUCUAAAGUUGUUCAAUUGCCGCAUGGCAACAAAGUUUGGAUGGCAUUGUUACUUGUUUCUUUACACCUGUGUUUCAGGUCAUAUUAAGGACCCUGGACUUCAUCUUGUGUAUAUAAUGUGCAGCCAUGAAGAGUUUCUAACAUGGGAGUGAUACGGUCAGGUCUGCAUUUGGGAGCAAUGUAAAGGAAAGAUUAUAUGGCUGCAAAACCAGCAGGGGGGCUAGCUUGGAGGGACUGAAGUGAUCCAAGGGAGAGGUGGCAAGGUGUUGGACUGAGUCACUGGCAGGGGGCAUGAAAAGGAAAGGACAGAUGCAAAAGAUACCAGAUGGUAAAAUCAGUAGGACUUGAUGAUUGAUAAAGAGUAGUCUGAGAGAAGGAGGAUUUAGGGAAACUUUCUAGGUUGGGUGACUGAGUAAAUGGAAUGGUGUGUUCCUUCUCAAAACUUUGGAAUUGUGCUCAUCAGCUAUUCACAGUCCACAGUCCUAAAUUUUAUCCACAGUUCCUAAAUUCAAAGAGUUAUGACAAAAAAAAAAAAAAAAAACUUCAGAUUUUUCCAAAUCGAAAGUUUUUUUUUCAUAACUCAUUAGGCAACAAAACCUAAUCUGACCUGAAUGUAUUUUGUGGUAGAACCUUACCUAAAUCUGUGUUAGGUUAUUUAUAGUUUUUGUUUAUCCCACUUAUUGCGAAUAUUCAUGCAUGUCACUGCAGAAAUAAUGUAUUUGAUUAUUGGGUGGCACAAAUGGUGUGCACUUGGCUGCUAACUGAAAGGCUGGCAGUUCACAGAAGAAAAACCUGGUGAUUCCGUAAAGAUUACAGCCAAAAAAACCCUAUGGAGCAGUUCUACUCUGUAACAGGUGGAUUGCCAUGAGUCAGAAUUGAUUUGACAACAAUGAGUUUUGUUAAUCCCAGACCCCACUGGGAUUGUUGCCUUAGUGUAUAUUGUUUUGUUUCAUUGUUUUCAGGUGCCAUUGAGUGUGUUCUGACUCAUAGUGACCCCACGUAUAACAGAACAACACAUUGUCCAGUCCUGUGCCAUCCUCACAAUAGUAGGAUCUCAUCCAUGAUGCCACAUUACAUUUAGUUUUCAAGUCUCCUUAAGCUCCUCUUGACUGUGACGGCCUCUCAGCCUUUCCUUGCUUUUGAGGACGACUUUGAAGGAUGCCCCUCUCUUGUAAUUUGUGUAGCGUUUUAUGAUUAGACUGGGGUUGUGAGUUUUGGGAAGAAAAACCACAGAGGUAGAGUGGCAUUUUCAUACAGUGUAUAAAGGAUACGUAGUAUUAAUAUGAUUUAUCACUGUUGGUAUUGACCUCUCCAGGUCAGCUGAGGGAUUGUGUGUGUGAGAUAUAGGAUGACCAUUGUAACAGGGGUGGCCUAGACUUUUCUUUCAGGGGGAUGAAAUUUCUUCUGUAGUCCAGCACUCCCCCCCCAACUUUGGCUAUUCAAAAAUCACAUUAUUUUGAAAGCUUGAACCUUCCCUAGCAGUUACCCCCUUCCUGAAUUCAGACUUCUAGACUCCUAAACUGUGAGAAAAUAAAUUUGUGUUUGUUGAAGCCAUCCACUUGGGUUAUUUCUGUUAUAGCAGCACUAUGUGACUAAGACAGUCACCCAGAGCUGGGUCUUCACAGAUUGACUGCCUGCAUAGUCCUUUUCUGUCCACCCUUCACCCAAAGCUGGCUCCUCAUGCGUUAGGACUCUGUCAUGACUGCCUGUGCAGCUUCCUUGUGAAUUAGCCAUCCCAAGUUAAGUCCAAGUCUCAUUGCCCCUUUGUGGGGUUGUUAGUUCUCUAUAACAGCUCACAAAAUUCACAGAGACGAUUAUCUACACUUGCAGUUAUCCAUUUUUUAUAACCAGGAAGGAUACAGGUGAGGAGAUGUGUCAGACAAGGUGUAGGAGAGUUCGUGGCAUGAGACUUCUGUUGUCCUCCGGGACAUGGCAUACUCUCUCUUGCAUGGGUGUUCUUGCCACUCCAGGAUCCCAAAGAGAGCUCCAAGGUCCAGGAUCUUUAAGUCAUUGGGACUUCAGUGUAUACGGAUGUCUCAAUGAAUGUGCAUGAUUGAUUCCCUCUCACCCACCUCCCUUUCUGAGGUUUGCUGCCAGGGUGAGGCUUGUGAAGCCCCUACUCAUUUGCACAUAUUUAAGUGUCUCCGAGAAGUCUUGGUGGUGGUGCAAUGGUUAAGAGCUCAGCUGCUAACUGAAAGAACGGUUAGUGGUUCAAACGCACCAGCUACUCCACAGGAAAAAAGACUCUGGCGAACUGCUUCGAUAAAGAUUAAAGCCUAGAAAACUCUAUGGGGCAGUCCUAUUCUGUCCUAUAGGGUCGCUAUGAGUUGGAAUCAAUUCAACAGCGCAUAAGAACAAGAAGUGUUGCCUGGCUAUAUUUUAAUUUUUAUUUUUGUGCUGUAGGUGAAGGUUUACAGUUCGUUAGUUUCUCAUACAAAAGUUUAUACACACAUUGUUAUGUGACCCUAGUUGCUCUCCGUAUAAUGUAACAACACGCUUUUCUUUUUCACUCCUUAUUUCCCGUUUCCAUUCAACCAGCUCUUGUCCUUUUCUGCCUUCUUAUCUUGCCUCUGGACAGGAGCUGCCCAUUUAAUCUUAUGAAUCUACUUGAGCUAAGAAGCACACUCCUCCCAAGUAUCAUUUAAUGUCUUCUGGUACAGUCUAAUCUUUGAAGAGUUGGCUUCAGGAAUGGUUUUAGUUUUGGGCUAACAGAGAGUCCGGAGCCAUGUCCUCUGGGGUCCCCCCAGUCUCAGACCAUUAAGUCUGGUCCUUUUACUAGAAUUUGAGUUCUGCAUUCCACUUUUCUCCUGCUCCCUCUGCUCUCCUGCUCCCUCGGGUUCUCUGUUGUGUUCCCUGUCAGGGUGGUCAUUGGCAGUAGUUGGGUACCAUCUAGUUCUUCUGGUCUCAGGCUGAUGGAGUCUCUGGUUUAUGGGGCCCUUGCUGUCUCUUGGGCUAAUAUUUUCCUUGUGUCUUUGGUGUUCUUCAUUCUCCUUUGCUCCAGGUGGGCUGUGACCAAUUGAGGCAUCUUAGAUGGCUGCUUGCUAGCUUUUAAGACCCCAGAUGCCACUCACCAAAGUGGGAUGCAGAACAUUUCCUUAAUAAACUUUGACCUGGUUAUUUUAGAAAACUAAAGUCAACUUGAUUGUUCCAGAAUUCCAAGGGCUAUUUUCCAGAAACCAGAGAGAAGGCCAAACCAAGUUCUCUGUCCCACACACUACCCAACACCAGAUCCUCUAAAUAAAGGUGCUAAAAGCUUUUAACAGUUUCUGUCAAUGUUUGUUAUUGUUAGGUACCAUCGAGGAAGGAUUCAUAGUGACCCUAUGUACAACUGAAUGAAACAUUGCCUCGUCCCGCACUAUCCUCCCAAUUGUUGCCAUGUUUGAGCCCAUUUAUUGAACAAUUUUUUUUUUAUUAUGUGCUGUGUGUUCCGAUAGGCCCUCACGAGAAGCAGUCUAAUGCAUAGAAUAAACUCAACUUUUGGGGUCUGUAAGACUUGGUUCGGAACCAGGGCUUUGAACUGGCUCAUUUUCGUUCGAACCCCUGCUGAGAAUUUGCAUUUCUAACAAGUUUGCUGGUGAUGCUAAUGAUGCUGGUUAGUCACCAAUUCUGAGAACCAGUGGUAGACCCCAAAACACGUUGCCAUUGGGUCGAUUCCAACUCAUGGCAACCCUGUAGGACAGAAUAGAACUGCCCCAUAGGGUUUUCAGAGAACAGCUGGUGGAUUCAGACUGCCAGCCUUUUAAUUAGCAACCAAAUGCUUAACCACUGUGCCACCAAGGUUCCACUAGUAGAGCAGUGGUUCUCAAAAUGUAUUAAGAAUCACCUGGGGAUCUUGUUAAAAUGUAGAUUAUGAUUCAGUACGUCUGGGGUGGAAAGGCAAAUUCUCAGCGAGGGCCCAAACCAAAAUGAACCAGUUUGAAGCCCUGGUUGGAACCACUGCCCAGCCCAAUUAAAUAUGAGGCCUCAGUUUAGGGUCCUUAGUCUGUCUUAGCCUUCAUGUUUUUUUAAAUGGAGAUGAUUUUACUUGUCUCACAAGAUGUGAGGAAUAAAAAAACCUCCUCUUAAUCCUCACAUUCAUUUUGCUUCCGAAACAAAAAAUUCCCCUUGACUGCAUUUUUUAUGUGAAGCUUGUAACAUCUUAUUUUUUUUAAAUGAUAGCUUCAGAACAGAUCUAAGUGUAACUUUUCUAAAAUACACCAAAAAGUACAGUGUAAAACACCUCCUCAUUAAAUACAAACUUUCAUUUUGUGAUCCACUGUAUCAGUGUUUUGCAUACACCUGGUGCAAAGGGAUUUUUAAGUUGCAUCCUAUUUAAAAACAAAACAAACUGAACUGAAAAAGAAUUGAAAAAGGUUGACUACAAACACAUUAACUCCUAAAAUUCCAACAAAGAAUUUUCUUUCUUCAACAAAGCAUAUUCUUUUGUGUAUAUACAAAAUAUUAGCAUUUAAGUGUUUAAUUUCAUUACAGGCAACAUUUUAUAUUUUAAAAAAUUACAGAUGCACAAAGCAAAAGUCUAAUAUGCUGAAGACAGUUUGAUGCACUUAAUAUUUGGGGCAAUUUUUAGGGUUUUCAAAAAUAGCAUUAAUAUUACCUCAGAACCUAUUAUACAGCCAUAGUAGUCAGAACAGCCUGGUACUGGUACAAUGACAGACACAUUGACCAAUGGAGCAGAAUUGAGAACCCAGAUGUAAAUCCAUCUACUUAAAGCCACUUGAUCUUUGACAAAGGGCCAAAGUCCAUUAAAUGGGGAAAAGACAGUAUUUUUAACAAAUGGUGCUGGCAAAACUGCAUGUCCAUCUAUAAAAAAAAUGAAACAGGACCCAUACCUGAUACCGUACACAAAAACUAAUUCAAAAUGGAUCAAAGACCUAAAUAUAAAACCAAAAACUAUAAAGAUCAUGGAAGAAAAAUAGAAUCAACGCUUGAGGGGCCUAAUACAUGGUAUAAAUAGGAUAUAAGCCGUAACUAACAAUACACGAACACUAGAAGAUAAGCUAGAUAACUGGGAUUUUCUAAAAAUUAAACACUAUGCUCAUCAAAAGACUUCACCAAAAGAAUAAAAAGAGAACCUACAGACUGGGAAAAAAUUUUUGCCUGUGACAAAUACAACAAAGGUCUAAUCUCUAAAAUCUACAGGAAAAUCCAACACCUCUACAACAAAAAGACAAAUAAUCCAAUUAAAAAACGGGCAAAGAGUAUGAACAGACACUUCACCAAAGAUGACAUUCAGGUGGCUAACAGACACAUGAGGAAAUGCUCUCGAACUACAAUGAAAUACCAUCUCACCCUGAAAUGACUGGCACUGGUUAAAAACAAAACAAAACAAAACAGAAAAUAACAAAUGUUGGAAAGAUAGCGGGAAAAUUGGAACUCUUAUGCAGUGCUGGUAGGAAUGCAAAAUGGUACAACCAUCCUGGAAAACAAUAUGGUGCUUCUUUAAAAAGUUAGAAGUAGAAAUACCAUACUACCCAUCAAUCCCACUCCUAGGAGUAUAUCCUAGAGAAAUGAGUCAUCACACGAAUAGACAUAUGCACACCCGUGUUCACUGCAGCAUUAUUCACAAUAGCAAAAAGAUGGAAACAACCUAGAUGCCCAUCAACAGAAGAAUGGGUAAACUAUGGUACACACACACAAUGGAAUACUAUGCAGUAAUAAAAAACAAUGAUGAAUCUGGAGGGCAUUAUGCUGAGUGAGAUAAAUCAAUCACAAAAAGACAAAUACUAUAUGAGACCAGUAUUAUAAAAACACAUGGAAACAUUUCCACACAGAAGGGAAAAAUCUUUGAUGGUUAUGAGGGAAGGGAGGGAAGGGAAGUGAAAAACAAACGAUGGUAAAUAAGCGGUAACUUUGGUGAAGGGUAAGACAGUACACAACACUGGGGAAGUCAGCACAACUUGGCCAGGACAAAGUCACAGAAGCUUCACAGACAUGUCCAAGUGCCCUGAAAGGCCAAACGACUGGGCUGAGGGCUGGGAACCAUGGUCUCGGGGGACAUCUAGCUCGACUGGCAUAACAUAGUCUAUAAAGAAAAUGCUCUACAUCCGACUGUGGUGAGAGGCCAUCUAAGAUAGCAUCUACUGGUCCCAUCCUGGCAGGAGUGAAGGAGACCAAAGACACAAGGGAAAGAUCAGUCCAAAGGACUAAUAGGGCACAAGUAGUACAACCUCCACCAGACUGAGCCCAAAACAACUAGAUAGUGCCGGGUUACCACCACUGACUGUUCUGGCAGGGAUCACAAUAGAGGGUCCCAGACAGAGUGGGAGAAAAAUGUAGAACAAAAUUCAAAUUCACACACGCACACCCAUAAGACCAGGAUUGCUGGUCUGACAGGGAUUGCAGAAACCCCAAGAGCAUGGCCCCCAGGCACCCUUUUAACUCAGUACUGAAGUCAUUUCUGAGGUUCACCCUUCAGCCAAAGAUUAGACAGGUCUAUAGGGGCAACAACAACAGCAACAACAAAAACGGCAUUAAUAAUAGCUCUGUACAUGUACACCAAUGUUUAUUGCAGCAUUUCUUAGCCAAAAGGUGGAAACAACCUGAAUGCUUAUCAAUGGAUGAAUAGAUAAACGAAAUGUGGUACAUACAUAAAUGGAAUAUCACACAGCCAGUAAGAAAAAUGAAGUCCUGAUACAUGCUAUAACAUGGAUGGAGCUUGAAGACAUUAUACUGAGUGAAGUAAAUCAAUCACAAAAGGACAAAUAUUAUAUGACCUCAGUUAUAUAAAAAGACAAGAACAGACAAAUACAUAGAGACCAAAGUUUAUUAGUGUUUACCAUGGUGGGAGAGAAGGGGAAAAGGGGAGUUAUUGCUUAUGGAGCACUGAGUUUUGGUUUAUGGUGAUGGAAAAACUGCAUAGAUUAAGGGUAGGAUUGCACAGCAGAUUAAUGUUAUUGUGUCUAUAAAUUGUACAUCUAUAAAAAGUUGAAUUGGCAAAAGUUGUGUGAUAGAUACAUUUACAACAACAACAAAGAGUAGCUGCUGAGACUGCUUAUGUACAACCAAACACCUCAUGGGAUUUGGUUCCUUGCUUUGGAGGUUUAGGGUCUUGGUUUCAUGGGACAGCCCAGUUAAUUGGCCUAAUAUCAUGCUUAGUGCUUCUGUUCUCUCUCCUAGUUUGUUGCAUAGUGCCUGGUGUCUUAAAAGCUUGCAAGCUGCCAUCCAUGGUACAACAAUUGGUCUUUAUUUGCCUGGAUCAAUAGCAGAGGAAGGAGAGUCAGGAAUAGGAGGAAGAAAUGGAAUGUGUGGCUAAUUGCCUCCGUGAACAACUGCCUCCUUUGCCAUGAGACCAGAAGAACUGGAUGGUGCCUGGCUACCACUACUGAA